ACGCUGGUUUAGCUGUGGACCGGCUGCAGGCGGUAAACGGCAGGGUUUAGUGGAGAUCACAUUACAAUGCCGGGCUAAAACAGGAACGGGAUGCUAUAAGGAGCACCGGACCAGUUGGGAUUGUACCAGUAUGAACUCAUAUCUACUGCAGUCAAAAGCUACUGAGAUUUUUGUCAGUGUGCGGCAGAAACAAAACUGGAGCUGCAUUGUGUCUGUAUUCUGAACGGGAACAGAGCCACCUUUGGAAGAAGUCCACUUAUUUCUGAAGACGCACUGGCUUGUCGUCAACCUAAAAAUCUGACAAUGCAGAAAGUGUCAAGGUACGUGAUUGCAAGACGAACACAGAAAGAGGCCCAACUCCUCCCUCGCAAAAACAUGAUGCAGCAUCAUAAUUAGCACCUAUCAAUAAAGUGAGCGCCCACACGAAGAGAGCCAGACCGCGAUUCAGAUGCAGGCAGAGCAGCGUUUCUGAGCCGGAACCGUUCAUUCAUGCAUGCGUUCACCUAAUAAAGAGCAAUAGAUUAAUGCGCUGAACUAAUUAAUUAAUAAAAACACAAAUCGUACGUCAACGCAAACAAACUGAGCGUUUAGAGCCUCUUUUAAGAUCAAACAUCACCAUCCUCUUCCUCAUAAUCUUCAUCUGCAUUCACACAGGUGUUUGCUGGGAGGAACGCGGCGGACGCGCUGCGGGUCACGUCCCGCCUCUGCGUCACAUUCUCCGGCGGCACGAGGGCGCGCACGCACGCCUCAGAUUCUAACGAAUUCCAAAUGAAUGAAGGUUAUAGAGCAACCGUCAACAUGAAAAUGACAACCGACGACGGCCGUUAAGACAGCUAGUCGGCAUAAAACGGCGGAAAACGCAGCCAAAUCUAAGAUUGAAACGCUCGGAUAUAGAAGUAAAGCCAAUGCAACAUUAUGGAAGCAUGUGGAAGAUCAGCACUAAGAAUGGCAGGAUAUGAGACAGCGCUCUGUCUCUCUCUCAGGCGAGGACGAGCCGGAUAAUGGCUUAUCUCUCUCUCUCUGGAGGUCACUGUGUACAGCGAGGCUCUUAAAGAGGUAAGCAGGGUAAACUCUGAUUAGUAUGGUAACGGCUGAGGCUCCACAGCUGACGUACAGGCCACAAUCACGUGCAUUCGUACACAGGCCUUUGCGUUCAGCUCAAUGCACGAUCAUAAAAACACACAGAGAUAAAAAUAGGCUCGGCUGAUAAUAAUAGCACACUGCCAUUGGCCAAUGCAGCAUCACGACGCGGAUGCUGCUUUCUUCUCUUCAUCUCGCUCCCUCAGUUCUGGCUUUCAAAGUCAUCGUUUGGGAUGGUUUGCAUGAAGCAGUGAGAUCAAAUGCAAUAUUAAAAAGACAAAAAGGUGGGUUUGAUGUUGUUUUUGGCAAUCCAGGCAAAUGCAUUGCUCUCUCUCUCUCUCUCUCUCUCUCUCUCUCUCUCUCUCUCUCUCUCUCUGUCUC